rnacentral:rRNA from 1 species
UACGUAGGGGGCAAGCGUUGUUCGGAAUUACUGGGCGUAAAGCGCGUGUAGGCGGUUGCCCAAGUCGGGUGUGAAAGCCUUGAGCUCAACUCAAGAAAUGCACUCGGUACUGGGUGACUAGAGGACCGGAGAGGAUAGUGGAAUUCCCAGUGUAGUGGUGAAAUACGUAGAGAUUGGGAAGAACACCAGUGGCGAAGGCGGCUAUCUGGACGGUUUCUGACGCUAAGACGCGAAAGCGUGGGGAGCAAACAGG